rnacentral:tRNA from 1 species
GCUCUUCUAGUUUAUAAAAAUUGUGGCUUUUCAAGCCACAGAACUGAGUGAAAAUCCCAGGAAAAGCA